GUGGUGCAGUGGUUAAGCGCGCUUGGCUGCUAACCAAAAGGUCAGUGGUUCAAAACCACCAGCCACUC
rnacentral:tRNA from 1 species